UAUUGAGGAGAGUUGCUAGAAUGAUUGUAUAACUAUCUCUUUGCAGGUACUCAUUAGACACUAACACUACUAACAUGACUGAGUUUGGACAAUACAUAUUUUGUUUUUUGGAUACAUGUAUACUGUUACUUGUCAUACAAGAGGUACCUU